rnacentral:lncRNA from 1 species
UUUAGCAUGAAGUGAAAACUAAGGUGUUAACCUCAAGAGUUACCCAUUCGCGUCUCUCAUACUAAGGUAUGAAUAUAAUAGGGUUACCGUGCCCCCUCUAAUAUGUUGGUCCACGGAACCCGUCCACUGCAGCGACUAAUCAAUAACCCAUCAAUUCAAUAAAAUUUAACAGCAUGACAUGGCCAUUUUAUCAUUAUCCAGCCUAUCAAGGCAAACAAUAGUUUAUACAUUUUUAACACAAAUACCAAUUCAGCCAUUCAUGCCAAUAUUGCCAUAAGCCAAUCAAUUAGAACCAUAAAUUCACAAUACAUCAAAUGGUUUCCAAUUACUCUAUUUUCAAAGCCAUCAUUCAAUUUCAAAAUAAAUUAUAAAAUCAUUUCAUUUAAACACAUUUUGUUUAUAAAACAUAAAGAUUUACCAUUUAAACUCAUUUUCCAUAAAAUUACAAAAUCAGAUAAAAACCACUUUAAAUAAUUAAGACGAUAGUAAGGUUACUCACUAUUUCAGAAGUCGAAUUUCGAGUACUUCGAUUCUUGAUCCUCGGGUACUAGCUCUUUACUUUUGCCAGAACGUUCACCACCUAGACAUAAUGCACAAUAAACCAUUUACUACAUUUGUGCUAAAUUGUUAUAAAAUCAAUUCAGGCUCUAUACUAAUGCAUGAAAUAGGAUGUAAAUUGUUCGGAUUAUCAUCAAAAUACAGUGUUCUACACAAAUUCAAUUGUGUACCUAAAUAAAACGGUAUUGGCCUAAUUCGAUCUAUCACACGAUUAAUUGGCCAAUAUGUCCAAUUUAACUCCAAUUAACUCCAUUUUUCUUCCAAUUCUCCAAAUCAUCAAACACAAGUUAAAUAACUUGAAAUAUGGUAAAAUCAUCCUCACAUUUUUUCUUGGAAAAUUCGGCCAUGGUGGGUGCAUCAAUACUAUGAUUUUUCCUAUAUUCUCACACCAUAAAUCACUAAUUCCUAACCAGAUCACUGGAAAUAAAAUCAAAAUCAUCCUCAAUAUUCCACAUGGAGAAUUCGGCCAAUGAUGGGUGAUGGGAGAAAAUGAAUUUUUCUUGUUGGCUUUUCAUUCUACACAUCACUAACUAACUAAAAACACUAAAUAUCUUAAAAUCUAACCAAAUCAAGCAUCAAAACUCCUCCCCCCAUGUCUAGCCAGCAAGGGUAUCCCCAUGCAAACUUGAUUCUCAACCGUGGAAAAUGAAAAAGAAUGCAUAAGAAAGGUAGAUCACAAGUUAUAAUUGAAAAAUCUUACCUUUUGUCGCUUGUUUCCUUGAAUUUUCGCACUUUUCCCUUUUUGUUCUUCUUUUC